ACGGGAGGCAGCAGUGGGGAAUUUUCCGCAAUGGGCGAAAGCCUGACGGAGCAGCGCCGCGUGAGGGAUGAAGGCCUCUGGGCUGUAAACCUCUUUUAUCAAGGAAGAAGAUCUGACGGUACUUGAUGAAUAAGCCACGGCUAAUUCCGUGCCAGCAGCCGCGGUAAUACGGGAGUGGCAAGCGUUAUCCGGAAUUAUUGGGCGUAAAGCGUCCGCAGGCGGCCUGACAAGUCUGCUGUUAAAGCGUGGAGCUUAACUCCAUUUCAGCAGUGGAAACUGUCAGGCUUGAGUGUGGUAGGGGCAGAGGGAAUUCCCGGUGUAGCGGUGAAAUGCGUAGAUAUCGGGAAGAACACCAGUGGCGAAAGCGCUCUGCUGGGCCAUCACUGACGCUCAUGGACGAAAGCCAGGGGAGCGAAAGGGAUUAGAUACCCCUGUAGUCCUGGCCGUAAACGAUGAACACUAGGUGUCGGGGGAAUCGACCCCUCCGGUGUCGUAGCCAACGCGUUAAGUGUUCCGCCUGGGGAGUACGCACGCAAGUGUGAAACUCAAAGGAAUUGACGG
rnacentral:rRNA from 1 species